rnacentral:rRNA from 1 species
UACGUAGGAUCCAAGCGUCAUCCGGAAUUACUGGGCGUAAAGCGUACGUAGGUGGAGAUUUAAGUGAGAUGCGAAAUCUGGCGGCUCAACCGUCUAGACUGUGUCUCAUACUGGGUUUCUUGAGGUUGGCAGAGGCAAGUGGAAUUUCCGGUGUAGCAGUGAAAUGCGUAGAGAUCGGAAGGAACACCAAUGGCGAAGGCAGCUUGCUGGGCCACACCUGACACUGAGGUACGAAAGCGUGGGGAGCGAACAGG